UGAGUAACCUGCCCUUAACUCUGGGAUAAGCCUGGGAAACUGGGUCUAAUACCGGAUAUGACUCCUCAUCGCAUGGUGGGGGGUGGAAAGCUUUUUGUGGUUUUGGAUGGACUCGCGGCCUAUCAGCUUGUUGGUGAGGUAAUGGCUCACCAAGGCGACGACGGGUAGCCGGCUGAGAGGGUGACCGGCCACACUGGGACUGAGACACGGCCCAGACUCCGUACGGGGAGCAG
rnacentral:rRNA from 1 species